CCCUUAGAUGUCCUGGGCUGCACGCGCGCUACACUGGAAGUUACGGAUUGAGAUACUACCUUGUCCGAAAUGGUCCGGGUAAUCACCUAAAAGCUUGUCAUAAUUGGAAUGGAUUAUUGUAACUAGUAAUCCUGAACGAGGAAUUCCUAGUAAGUCCCAGUCAACAGCUAGUACUGAUUACGUCCCUGCCCUUUGUACACACCGCCCGUCGCUACUACUGAUUGGACGUUUAAGCAAGAUUUUUAAACACUGACAGUGUGUAGUUCACGCUAUACUACAGUGAGAAGAAGAAGAUCGAGCUUACUUGUCUAGAGGAAGUAAAAGUCGUAACA
rnacentral:rRNA from 1 species